AGUGAACGCUGGCGGUAGGCCUAACACAUGCAAGUCGAACGGCAGCACAGUAAGAGCUUGCUCUUACGGGUGGCGAGUGGCGGACGGGUGAGGAAUACAUCGGAAUCUACUUUUUCGUGGGGGAUAACGUAGGGAAACUUACGCUAAUACCGCAUACGACCUACGGGUGAAAGCAGGGGAUCUUCGGACCUUGCGCGAUUGAAUGAGCCGAUGUCGGAUUAGCUAGUUGGCGGGGUAAAGGCCCGCCAAGGCGACGAUCCGUAGCUGGUCUGAGAGGAUGAUCAGCCACACUGGAACUGAGACACGGUCCAGACUCCUACGGGAGGCAGCAGUGGGGAAUAUUGGACAAUGGGCGCAAGCCUGACCCAGCCAUGCCGCGUGGGUGAAGAAGGCCUUCGGGUUGUAAAGCUCUUUUGUUGGGAAAGAAAAGCAGCAGGUUAAUCCCCCGCUGUUUUGACGGUACCCAAAGAAUAAGCACCGGCUAACUUCGUG
rnacentral:rRNA from 1 species